CCUGAUUAGCUGGGACUGGAAGCAUGCACCACCAUGCCCAGAGUCAGAGGGACAUCUGACUACAGAUGAGAAGGCAUUUUACAGACAAAGGCUGACUGAAGUCAUCACGUGCUUUGAAAAUGGAAGGGGCCAUGAUAACCUGAAAUAAGCAAGAAAACAGAUUCUCCCUUCACAGCCUCCAGAAGGUACCAGUCCCGCCACCACCUUGAUUUUAGCCAUAUGACUAAUUGCAGACUCCUGAUUUCCAGAACGCUAAGAUAAUAAAUGUGUGGUUUAUGCUA